GUAGGCCUGCGUCACUUUUCUGGAACCCGCGCCGUCUGCUCUGAAGGCUCUUGUAUGGUGGCGUUAUAAAAAAAUAAAAAUAAAAAAAAAUGUCUAGUUUACCUGGAACUUCCAAACCACAAGAGUUGGAGGCCAGUGUUAUUGCUGCUGCACAAGGCCUCAUAAACGUGCUAACACAAAACAUUCAGCAGCAUCACACCCCAGCACAGCAGAAUCCAUUGCGGUCACAUGAGCACCAGAGUCGACAGCAAGCAGGUCAAGGGAGGUGUUGCUGAAAUUGAGAGAGAUGGCAGAUUCGCGACCCCAACAGAGGACUGAACCUUUGAUUGUGAGGCAGUUCAUGGAGAGAAUGCUGAGAAGGCUUCAGGAAGUUCUGCGACGUCAGCCUGUGGAUUUGGAUUAUUUACACUUUGUUUUAAGUCAUGAAGUGGGACUUGUACGCUCUUUUGCCAAUGUUGUAGAACUGCCUCAAGAUGUUGAUCGUGCUUUAUCUGACUUAUUAAGACUUCUUCGUUUACAAGAGGAGAGUUAUCCAGCUCAUACCUAUGCUGAGGUUCUGGUUGGUGA